GCUUACGGCCACACCGCCUGGUUCACGCCUGAUCUCGUUUGAUCUCGGAAGCUAAGGUAGGUUGGGCCUGGUUAGUACUUGGAUGGGAGACCGCCUGGGAAUACCAGGUGCUGUAACUU
rnacentral:rRNA from 1 species